GCACGGUGGAUGCCUUGGCAGCCAGAGGCGAUGAAGGACGUUGUAGCCUGCGAUAAGCUCCGGUUAGGUGGCAAACAACCGUUUGACCCGGAGAUUUCCGAAUGGGGGAACCCACCCGUUGUAAGACGGGUAUCACCGACUGAAUCCAUAGGUCGGUGAGGCGAACGCGGGGAACUGAAACAUCUAAGUACCCGUAGGAA
rnacentral:rRNA from 1 species